rnacentral:tmRNA from 1 species
GGGGGUGAAAUUGGUUUCGACGGGGUUAAUGAGGCUUAAAAACGCAUACCGUGUUCUCCGUAGACACGUUAAACGACGGGAAAAAUGUAAUUGACAACAAUUACGCUUUAGCUGCCUAAUUUAACUUAGGUGCCGUUCCCCCCACUUAUGUCCGGCGGGGUGGGAUGGAGCGACGAUUAGCCGGAAUAGCGGAUCCGAGCAUCCUGGUAGGUGAAGCGAAAUAAACACAGGAGAUAUUUGACGGAAUCCUGUCUUUCGGAGCCCGGCAGAUGUACUUAAAAGAGAGACUACGUAUGUAGUGGGUUUAAGUGUCUUAAUUUCGGACGCGGGUUCGACUCCCGCCACCUCCACAA